rnacentral:rRNA from 1 species
UACGUAGGGUGCGAGCGUUGUCCGGAAUUAUUGGGCGUAAAGAGCUUGUAGGCGGUUUGUCGCGUCUGCUGUGAAAAUCCGGGGCUCAACCCCGGACUUGCAGUGGGUACGGGCAGACUGGAGUGUGGUAGGGGAGACUGGAAUUCCUGGUGUAGCGGUGGAAUGCGCAGAUAUCAGGAGGAACACCAAUGGCGAAGGCAGCUCUCUGGGACGGUACUGACGCUGAGACGCGAAAGCAUGGGGAGCAAACGGG